rnacentral:rRNA from 1 species
CCUACGGGAGGCAGCAGUCGAGAAUCAUUCACAAUGGGGGAAACCCUGAUGGUGCGACGCCGCGUGGGGGAAUGAAGGUCUUCGGAUUGUAAACCCCUGUCAUGUGGGAGCAAAUUAAAAAGAUAGUACCACAAGAGGAAGAGACGGCUAACUCUGUGCCAGCAGCCGCGGUACUACAGAGGUCUCAAGCGUUGUUCGGAAUCACUGGUCGUAAAGCGUGCGUAGGCUGUUUCUUAAGUCGUGUGUGAAAGGCGCGGGCUCAACCCGCGGACGGCACAUGAUACUGCGAGACUAGAGUAAUGGAGGGGGAACCGGAAUUCUCGGUGUAGCAGUGAAAUGCGUAGAUAUCGAGAGGAACACUCGUGGCGAAGGCGGGUUCCUGGACAUUAACUGACGCUGAGGCACGAAGGCCAGGGGAGCGAAAGGGAUUAGAUACCCGUGUAGUC